ensembl:lncRNA
CCUGUAUAAACAGAGUUAUGGAAAUGUCACAAUCAUAAAACAAAAUGGCCCGGGUCGUAGCUGGAUUCGCCACCGACCGUUUACACAUUCUCCAAAACAUGGAUAUUGUUCAGUUACCAAGUUCUGUGAGGUAGAAGAAGUUCCUUUGUUCUACUGUGAACCCGCUCUCUAUACUGCAUGGCCGGGAAGAGAAUUUCCUCCAGGAAUUUACGACCUGAGAUUUCAGAGCCUGGGUGUAGGGGGAAGAGAGAGAAAGUUGGUGCUUGUUAUAGGCAAAGAGGGCCACGUCAUGACAACGUUACCCAAACAAGCUGUUGCAUGGAAACCUUUAGCCUAUCGUAUAUACUUCACACUGGGCUGUAACUAGUUAUAGUGGAGGUUAUAGUGGAGACCAGUAGGAAGGAGGACUGGGAUGUGACUGGUUAUAGUGGAGGCCAGUAGGAAGGAGGACUGGGAAGUGACUGGUUAUAGUGGAGGCCAGUAGGAAGGAGGACUGGGCUGUAACUGGUUAUAGUGGAGGCCAGUAGGAAAGAGGCUGGGAUGUGACUGGUUAUAGUGGAGGCCAGUAGGAAGGAGGACUGGGCUGUGACUGGUUAUAGUGGAGGCCAGUAGGAAGGAGGACUGGGCUGUAACUGGAUAGUGGAGGCCAGUAGGAAAGAGGACUGGGAUGUGACUGGUUAUAGUGGAGGCCAGUAGGAAGGAGGACUGGGCUGUGACUGGUUAUAGUGGAGGCCAGUAGGAAAGAGGACUGGGCUGUGACUGGUUAUAGUGGAGGCCAGUAGGAAGGAGGACUGGGCUGUGACUGGUUAAAGUGGAGGCCAGUAGGAAAGAGGACUGGGCUGUGACUGGUUAUAGUGGAGGCCAGUAGGAAGGAGGACUGGGCUGUGACUGGUUAUAGUGGAGGCCAGUAGGAAAGAGGACUGGGCUGUGACUGGUUAUAGUGGAGGCCAGUAGGAAGGAGGACUGGUCUGUGACUGGUUAUAGUGGAGGCCAGUAGGAAGGAGGAGGACUGGGCUGUGACUGGUUAUAGUGGAGGCCAGUAGGAAGGAGGAGGACUGGGCUGUGACUGGUUAUAG